ACACUACUGCAUAGUGGCAGUAUCAUAGCCUGUGAGGUUGAACUGAGGCGUGAUCAUUGCUAGUUGAAAACUUAUCCCUAUCUCUCUUCCAAAUUUCAUAGGGCUGCUGCAUACAAAAAUGAGAGAGCUCUUCAUAAAAAGUUGAAAGACG
rnacentral:snRNA from 1 species